rnacentral:rRNA from 1 species
GAUGCAAGCGUUAUCCGGAAUCAUUGGGCGUAAAGCGCCUGUAGGUUGUUUAAUAAGUCUGUUGUUAAAGACUAGGGCUCAACCCUAGGAAAGCAAUGGAAACUACUAGACUUGAGUAUGAUAGGGGUAGAGGGAAUUUCUAGUGUAGCGGUGAAAUGCGUAGAUAUUAGGAAGAACACCGGUGGCGAAGGCGCUCUACUGGAUCAUUACUGACACUCAGAGGCGAAAGCUAGGGUAGCAAAAGGGAUUAGAUACCCCUGUAGUCCUAGCCGUAAACGAUGGAUACUAGAUGUUGCGUUUAUUAUGCAGUAUCGUAGCUAACGCGUUAAGUAUCCCGCCUGGGGAGUACGCUCGCAAG